rnacentral:lncRNA from 1 species
AUCUUAUAUGUUGCUGUCAGAAACAGUUUCUUAACUACUUUUUUCUUUUAGAUUUAUUUUUUUAUUUUUAUUUAUUUAUUUUAUGUCUGUGAGUACACUAUAGCUGUACAGAUGGUUGUGAGCCACCAUGUAGUUGCUGGGAUUUGAACUUAGGACCUUCGGAAGAACAGUCAGUGCUCUUAACCACUGAGCCAUCUCUGUAGCCUCUUAGAUUUAUUUUUAUGUGCAUGAAUAUUUUGCCUGUAUGUAUAUAUGUGUGCUGUGUUUGUGCCUGGUGCCUGCAGAGGUCAGAAGAGUGUAAUGGAUCCCCUGGAGUUGGAGUUACUAAUGAUUGUGAGCUACCAUGUUGGGUUCUGGGUUCUCUACAAGAGUAGCUAGUGCUCUUAACCACUGAGCCAUCUCAUCUGUCUUGCCUCAGGGACUUGUUUUAUAAACAAGAAAUAAAGUCUUACAUUGAUAAGAUGCUUUAUGAUGUUUAAAUGUGUCCCAGAAAUCCAGAGGCAGAGGCAGGCAGAUCUCUUGAGUUUGAGGCUAGCCUGGUCUACAAAAUGAGUUCCAGGGCAUCUAGGGCUACUGUUGUUGGGCCACCAGAGAAGACUACUCUGACACAUGUUUAAGCCGAUAGAAAGUCUUUAUUAGUGGGACAGUGACUAAACUGAGUGGUUGGGAUCCCAGUGUAGCCUGAGCCUUUCUCAGAGAGGGCUUUUAAGUACAGAAGCCAUGUUCUGGGUUAACAUACUUCAGUUAACAAGAACAGUUAGCUAGAAGCAGAACCACAAAAACCCAAAAGCAAGGCUUCUACAUUUAGAGACUUUCCCAUGACUAUGUACUUUUUUUUUUAGAUUUAUUUAUUUAUUUAUGAAUAUUUUUUAUUAAAAUAAGACCCCAUGUUCACUAACUCACAAGAAAAACACAAUUUAAAAUCUUACAGCCUCAAAGUACACAAAGCAUAAUCUAAAAAAUAAAAAAUUCCAUUUACAGUAAUUCUUAUUCCAAUAAUUAAUAGACAAAAGGUUAAAAAAUUUACUAAGGGUCUUAAGAUUUAGGCAGCAUGUGGUAUCUUGAUCACAAUAUCUAGAGAAUAAGUAGGUUUCAUUAGCAUAGACUUAUCAAACUUGAUGCAUGUAUUAGACCAUUUUCAACCUGUGGGUUGUGACCCCUUUGGGGAUUGAAUAGCCCUUUCAAGAGGAACUGUAUUAAAGGGUUACAGCAUUAGGAAGGUUGAGAAUCACUGUAUUUGGCUAACCUACAUACAAGGUCAGAUAUUUGGAAAUGGAAUAUAAUGCUACUUAGUAAUUCAUAUAACACAGGAGAAAUCAGGAUGGAGGUUUGAAUACAUGUAAAACUUAGUAAAUAAAAUACUCAUCAGAAAAUGUGGGAUACAUUUAAAACAAUAAUUUGAGGUAUUUAUGACCAUACAUACUUUCUUUAGAAAAAAAAAAAAUGCUUAAAGCCAGGCAGUGGUGGCGCACGUCUUUAAUCCCAGCACUUGGGAGGCAGAGGCAGGUAGGUGGAUUUCUGAGUUCGAGGCCAGCCUGGUCUACAGAGUAAGUUCCAGGACAGCCAGAGCUAUACAGAGAAACCCGAUCUCGAAAGAC